CUACGGGAGGCAGCAGUGGGGAAUAUUGCGCAAUGGGGGGAACCCUGACGCAGCCAUGCCGCGUGAAUGAAGAAGGCCUUCGGGUUGUAAAGUUCUUUCGGUAAUGAGGAAGGGAUGUUAUUAAAUAGAUAGCAUCAUUGACGUUAAUUACAGAAGAAGCACCGGCUAACUCCGUGCCAGCAGCCGCGGUAAUACGGAGGGUGCGAGCGUUAAUCGGAAUAACUGGGCGUAAAGGGCACGCAGGCGGACUUUUAAGUGAGAUGUGAAAUCCCCGAGCUUAACUUGGGAACUGCAUUUCAGACUGGGAGUCUAGAGUACUUUAGGGAGGGGUAGAAUUCCACGUGUAGCGGUGAAAUGCGUAGAGAUGUGGAGGAAUACCGAAGGCGAAGGCAGCCCCUUGGGAAUGUACUGACGCUCAUGUGCGAAAGCGUGGGGAGCAAACAGGAUUAGAUACCCUGGUAGUCC
rnacentral:rRNA from 1 species